rnacentral:rRNA from 1 species
GCCUGAACGCUGGCGGCGUGGCUAAGACAUGCAAGUCGAACGGGCCUAGCAAUAGGUCAGUGGCGGACGGGUCAGUAAUGAAUCGCUAACGUGCCCCGGAGCCAGGGAUAGCCUUACCGAAAGGAAGGGUAAUACCUGAUGAGACCACGAACAGGCAUCUGUUUGUGCUCAAAGCAGCGCAGCAAUGUGUUGCACUCUGGGAGCGGGCGAUUUUGAUCAGCUUGUUGGUGAGGUAACGGCUCACCAAGGCGACGACGCAUAGCCGG